rnacentral:tRNA from 1 species
CAGAAAAUAGUUUAUUUAAAAUAUUAAUUUUGGAGAUUAAAGAUAAAGUUACUUUUUUUCUGA